rnacentral:rRNA from 1 species
CGGCGUGGAUUAGGCAUGCAAGUCGAACGAGAAAGGGGAGCAAUCCUGAGUAAAGUGGCGAACUGGUGAGGAACGGGUGGAUUACGUGCCUCUUUGUGGGGGAUAACGUUUGGAAACAGACGCUAAUACCGCAUGUGGCCCGCAAGGGUUAAAGGCUUCGGUCGCAAAGAGAACGGUCCGCUCCUGAUUAGCUUGUUGGUGAGGUAAUGGCUCACCAAGGCUACGAUCGGUAGGUGGUCUGAGAGGAUGGUCACCCACACUGGAACUGAGAUACGGUCCAGACUCCUACGGGGGGCAGCAGUCUAGAGGCUUCGGCAAUGGGGGAAACCCUGACCGAGCGACGCCGCGUGCGGGAUGAAGGUCGUAAGAUUGUAAACCGCUGUCAGCAGGGAAGAAUGCCCGAAUGGUGAAUUCGGGAGUGACGGUACCUGCGAAGGAAGCCCCGGCUAACUCCGUGCCAGCAGCCGCGGUAAUACGGAGGGGGCAAACGUUGUUCGGAAUCACUGGG